rnacentral:rRNA from 1 species
GACGAACGCUGGCGGCGUGCUUAACACAUGCAAGUCGAACGGUAAGGCCCUUCGGGGUACACGAGUGGCGAACGGGUGAGUAACACGUGGGUGAUCUGCCCUGCACUUCGGGAUAAGCCUGGGAAACUGGGUCUAAUACCGGAUAGGACUCCGGACUGCAUGGUCUGGGGUGGAAAGCUUUUGCGGUGUGGGAUGGGCCCGCGGCCUAUCAGCUUGUUGGUGGGGAGAUGGCCUACCAAGGCGACGACGGGUAGCCGGCCUGAGAGGGUGACCUGCCACACUGGGACUGAGAUACGGCCCAGACUCCUACGGGAGGCAGCAGUGGGGAAUAUUGCACAAUGGGCGCAAGCCUGAUGCAGCGACGCCGCGUGAGGGAUGACGGCCUUCGGGUUGUAAACCUCUUUCAGCAUCGACGAAGCGAAAGUGACGGUAGGUGCAGAAGAAGGACCGGCCAACUACGUGCCAGCAGCCGCGGUAA